GUGGAUAGUAUAGUGGUUAUGACGUUGGGUUCUGACCCUCAACUCCCUGGGUUCAAAUCUCAGCAUUCCCA